AUGUGGAGGCUAUAUACAGGGGGUACCGGUACAGAGUCAAUGUGGAGGCUAUAUACAGGGUGUUACAGUACAGAGUCAAUGUGGAGGCUAUAUACAGGGUGUUACGGUACAGAGUCAAUGUGGAGGCUAUAUACAGGGGGUACCGGUACAGAGUCAAUGUGGAGGCUAUAUACAGGGGUACCGGUACAGAGUCAAUGUGGAGGCUAUAUACAGGGGGUACCGGUACAGAGUCAAUGUGGAGGCUAUAUACAGGGGUACCGGUACAGAGUCAAUGUGGAGGCUAUAUACAGGGGGUACCGGUACAGAGUCAAUGUGGAGGUUGUAUACAGGGGGUACCGGUGCAGAGUCAAUGUGGAGGCUAUAUACAGGGGGUACUGGUACAGAGUCAAUGUGGAGGCUAUAUACAGGGGGUACCGGUACAGAGUCAAUGUGGAGGCUAUAUACAGGGGGUACCGGUACAGAGUCAAUGUGGAGGCUAUAUACAGGGUGUUACAGUACAGAGUCAAUGUGGAGGCUAUAUACAGGGGGUACUGGUACAGAGUCAAUGUGGAGGCUAUAUACAGGGGGUACUGGUACAGAGUCAAUGUGGAGGCUAUAUACAGGGGGUACCGGUACAGAGUCAAUGUGGAGGCUAUAUACAGGGUGUUACAGUACAGAGUCAAUGUGGAGGCUAUAUACAGGGUGUUACGGUACAGAGUCAAUGUGGAGGCUAUAUACAGGGGGUACCGGUACAGAGUCAAUGUGGAGGCUAUAUACAGGGGGUACCGGUACAGAGUCAAUGUGGAGGCUAUAUACAGGGGGUACCGGUACAGAGUCAAUGUGGAGGCUAUAUACAGGGGGUACCGGUACAGAGUCAAUGUGGAGGCUAUAUACAGGGGGUACUGGUACAGAGUCAAUGUGGAGGCUAUAUACAGGGGGUACUGGUACAGAGUCAAUGUGGAGGCUAUAUACAGGGGGUACCGGUACAGAGUCAAUGUGGAGGCUAUAUACAGGGGGUACCGGUACAGAGUCAAUGUGGAGGCUAUAUACAGGGGGUACCGGUACAGAGUCAAUGUGGAGGCUAUAUACAGGGUGUUACAGUACAGAGUCAAUGUGGAGGCUAUAUACAGGGUGUUACGGUACAGAGUCAAUGUGGAGGCUAUAUACAGGGGGUACUGGUACAGAGUCAAUGUGGAGGCUAUAUACAGGGGGUACCGGUACAGAGUCAAUGUGGAGGCUAUAUACAGGGGGUACCGGUACAGAGUCAAUGUGGAGGCUAUAUACAGGGUGUUACAGUACAGAGUCAAUGUGGAGGCUAUAUACAGGGUGUUACGGUACAGAGUCAAUGUGGAGGCUAUAUACAGGGGGUACCGGUACAGAGUCAAUGUGGAGGCUAUAUACAGGGGGUACCGGUACAGAGUCAAUGUGGAGGCUAUAUACAGGGGGUACCGGUACAGAGUCAAUGUGGAGGCUAUAUACAGGGGGUACCGGUACAGAGUCAAUGUGGAGGCUAUAUACAGGGUGUUACAGUACAGAGUCAAUGUGGAGGCUAUAUACAGGGUGUUACGGUACAGAGUCAAUGUGGAGGCUAUAUACAGGGGGUACUGGUACAGAGUCAAUGUGGAGGCUAUAUACAGGGUGUUACGGUACAGAGUCAAUGUGGAGGCUAUAUACAGGGGGUACCGGUACAGAGUCAAUGUGGAGGCUAUAUACAGGGGGUACCGGUACAGAGUCAAUGUGGAGGCUAUAUACAGGGGGUACCGGUACAGAGUCAAUGUGGAGGCUAUAUACAGGGGGUACCGGUACAGAGUCAAUGUGGAGGCUAUAUACAGGGUGUUACAGUACAGAGUCAAUGUGGAGGCUAUAUACAGGGUGUUACGGUACAGAGUCAAUGUGGAGGCUAUAUACAGGGGGUACUGGUACAGAGUCAAUGUGGAGGCUAUAUACAGGGGGUACCGGUACAGAGUCAAUGUGGAGGCUAUAUACAGGGGGUACCGGUACAGAGUCAAUGUGGAGGCUAUAUACAGGGGGUACCGGUACAGAGUCAAUGUGGAGGCUAUAUACAGGGGGUACCGGUACAGAGUCAAUGUGGAGGCUAUAUACAGGGGGUACCGGUACAGAGUCAAUGUGGAGGAUAUAUACAGGGGGUACCGGUACAGAGUCAAUGUGGAGGCUAUAUACAGGGGGUACCGGUACAGAGUCAAUGUGGAGGCUAUAUACAGGGGGUACCGGUACAGAGUCAAUGUGGAGGCUAUAUACAGGGGGUACCGGUACAGAGUCAAUGUGGAGGCUAUAUACAGGGGGUACUGGUACAGUAGAGUGGCUGGAGUCUGA
ensembl:lncRNA